GAUGAACGCUGACAGAAUGCUUAACACAUGCAAGUCUACUUGAUUCUACUUCGGUAGUUGAUGGUGGCGGACGGGUGAGUAACGCGUAAAGAAUCUGCACUUUAGUUUGGGAUAACCUUUGGAAACGAAGGUUAAUAACGAAUAUUAUGGAGAUGUCGCAUGACGACUUCAUGAAAGCUAUAUGCGCUAGAGGAGGACUUUGCGUCCCAUUAGUUAGUUGGUGAGGUAAUGUCUCACCAAGACCGCGAUGGGUAGCCGGCCUGAGAGGGUGAUCGGCCACAAGGGAACUGAGACACGGUCCUUACUCCUACGGGAGGCAGCAGUGGGGAAUAUUGGACAAUGGACCACAAGUCUGAUCCAGCAAUUCUGUGUGCACGAUGAAUGUCUUCUGAUUGUAAAGUGCUUUCAGUAGGUAAGAAAAAAAUGACGGUACCUACAGAAGAAGCGACGGCUAAAUAUGUGCCAGCAGCCGCCGUAA
rnacentral:rRNA from 1 species